rnacentral:rRNA from 1 species
UAUGGCGGCCACAGCGGAGGGGCCACACCCGUUCUCAUCAGAACACGGAAGUAAAGUCCUCCAGCGAUUCUGGCAGUACUAUGGUGCGAGAGCCCAUGGGAGACCAGAGACGCUGCCAGCC